UGUAAAAUCAGUCAAUUUGACUGGUGUGGUAGUUCUAGUGUUAACUAUUAUCCUGCUUUCACUGUAGAUGGCGAAAUGAUUGAACAGUUGUGUCCACCGAACGAUGCCAUAAUACCUGGUCGACCUUUUAAAUUAAGAGCAAGUUGUCGAUAGUUUCGUAAUGGUGGCUAAUGGUGCCGACGACAGGUGUGAUGACGAAGCAGUGACAUGUUUGAGGAGGCUAGCGUUCGAAGCAAAGUGACGAUGGAAUAAUCUUCGUCUGAUUUAUCGUGUUGGUAGGACGUGCAGCGAUAAAAACGUUGACUGGAAAUUCGAUCCUCCGGUGGUUCGCUGUUCUCAAUACGACCGCUUUCUAUAUAUCCCGCGAGGAGUCACAAUCGAAAUCGAAGAUCACGCCGUCCCGUAUAACCGAGAUUAUCUACGAGUUAGUCUAAUUUGCAUAAAACCGAAGCCCGUUUCCCAUUUCGAUUCUCUUUCGAUGAAAUCGCGCAGGCUGCAUACAGCCAGCGUACAACUUUUUCUCUGUCGCGGACGCUAACUCGAUCUAUCGCUUUGAUAUACAGGUGUUCGGGUAGAAUGGCCAAGGAAGCAAUUUAGCUGUCCUUUUGAAAGCCGGAUCGUGGAAAACGAACUUCCAACACGAUUAACGAUAAUUUGUGAUCGACAGUGGAGUUGCCGAGAUUCUGCGACGACGUAGCGGCGCAUGAUGUAGCUCAGACCACAUAAUCAUAAGAUACGUAAGUGAAGAAUUAUGCGAAGAUCUCGAUUGUUUCGUUAUCAUUUUUAGGCGCCAUCUUAUCUGCACUUUGCAUCGAAACACACGUCGCCGAUGUUCGUAAGCAGUUUGUACGCUAAAGGGUUCUUAACUCGUCGAUUUAAUUAAAUUGAGAAAGAAUUUAACCCUUUGCACUCGAGAGGCGAUUCUCAGUCGCCACGUCGUAAUCGUGUGGCAAAUCGAGAGGAGAAUGAGAGGCGACAGUCCCUGUUUAUGAGAGCGCAGUAUUGGUUCAUAAAUAGAUUCCAUAGCUCUUUAUAUUGUUUGUUAUGAAGUGUGAAGCGUUACAGUUUAAGAUGCAGGUGAAAUAUUUAUGCCCAAACUUUUUAAGUUAAUUUUUGUAUAAAAUCAUUUUACAUUACCUACAAGACACCCGUCGCAUACGCGCAAAAUCACCUCGAGUUGCUGCUAGUCGAGUGCAAAAGGUUAACAUAAAUGAAAUUAGAUGUAAAAGGAAGUAACAUAAAAUACGGUUACAGGUAGCGAAACAGAAACAGAGAAUUGACGCGAGAUGGUCGCGAGGCGAACGUUGCAGAUAGAAAUUCAGUCGAGCGAUGGAUAAAGAUUGGUGGAAGAUAGGACGCGUAUCUUUGUACACGCGAAUAUGCCAUCUAGAUAUGUAUUCGAGUCUGUUUUACAUAUGUAUACACGGCGUUGGGCCGUAGCUUUCGUCGUUUCCGAGCACGUCUCAAAUUGCAUUUCCUUACGCACAAAUUCUUGCGCCCCAAUACCCUAGGAUUCGCAAUAUUUCCACGCUCAAAGGCACGUCCUUUUAGUCCGACCUCAUCCUAAUCCCCGAUCUCACCCACCGCGUGUUCCACAUCGUGCAUAUCGAUAGACUUGCGAGAGUUGGUGCGAUGCGCACCAUCCACCACCGCCGCACCUUCCUUUCCCUCUUUCCUUCUCACCUGCCACCCAUUCCACAAUCUCUUGCUCGCUCCAUCCUCUGCCUUUCUGCCCUUUAACCGAUUCCUACCGUUUAAUCGCACGUCUGGUCGCGCGUCGCGCUGCAUCGCAAUAUGCAGUCGAUAUACUUUCCAACUUUCCUCUGCUUUUUCAAACGAAUCGAAAGAGAAGCUUUUUUCAAUAUCCUCCGACUUAACGAGAAUAAGAAGAGAAGAGAAGAAAAAAACGUUUGCGAGCAGUUUCGCGUUGAUUACUCGCGCCCGACGAAGGUAGACGUGGAACGUGAGGUCGUUCUUUUCGCGGACAAAUCAGUCGACGAUUUAGUCGCCUUAACGGAAAGAAUCGAAGCAAACUUAUCGAUGGAUGCCGAUGGAUCGAUCAAGCCGCCACGAAGCUUCGAAAAGACAAGGUGGACCGUAGGAGGAAAGGAAAGAUACUCGCAAAAGGGGACGGAGACGAGGAAAUAAGUAGAAUAUGAAAAAUGAAUGCACACAGGGAAAAAAUGAUAAAUGAGAAGCCGGGAGGCUGAGAAGGCGAUUACAAACAGCAAGGGCGUAAUCGUUUAGCGACGAGAAAAAGGGGAGAAACCAAAGGUAACCGCUCGUUAACCGCAUCUGGUUAUCGAAACUUGGAAGCUGGGGAAGCGGAAAUCAAGUAAGAAAAUAGAUAUUGCUGAUGAAGAAUAGAACGAGAAUGGAAGGAAAAUAGGACGAGAGAGCAGCUUUUUUCGAAAUGGAACGGUAGCGAAAGCUAUAAAUCGAGGACGCUGUACGCGCGGCUCUUCUUUUCUACUUUGCUACUUUUCGCAGUUGGGUUAAAGCGAUGCGCGCGGUUUCAGCGUCUCGAGGAAACCGAGUAAACCUCAAAGGAAUCUCGAUAGAAUUUUUCGCAUCCGGAAGCAGCACAGCAGACGUUCCUCCCAGCGGGUGUCGAUGUCGCGCGUCUGAUUGGUGGUCCUCUCUCACUGAUUUACUCGAUUUCCGGCUGAUUUGCACGUGUUCUCGAGGAACAAGCAAGAUAAUUUCUCGCGGCGCCUGAAGUUCUAGUGGCAGCUAAACACGCUUCUCGUCGCAGUAUUAGAUUCAAGUUCGAUCUGGUGAUUAAACUUGCAAAAGCUACGUUCGCCGUACGAAUUUUCCGAUCCAAAUUGGAGGAAUUGCAGGUGGACGCGCGUUCAUACAGCCACGGUAAUUGAUCCGUCGCGAACGCUCAUUUGCUCGACUUUCCGUAAACGUGACGCAAAUUAAUGAUCCGUUAACGUCGAAAAGCAAAGCGUAAACUUGCCUCGGUUACUCUUCUCAUACUACGUGUGUAUUCGAAGAUAUUCCGUCUCUGUACUAUGUAUUCGAAGACAUUUAGUCUCUGUACUAUGUAUUCGAAGAUAUUCCGUUCGAUCGUGUACCAAAUCGUUGGUAAUGUCGCAGCGACACAUGAGUCAACAGAAGGUUUGAAUCCGGAGAGACUGAUAUUAUUGUACCUUGGAAUAUCAACGUUGUUUUGGUUUGCUAGUUCUAAAGAUAAACGAACUGCGGACAAAAUAUUCUUUCCGUUAUUUGUAAUCGUCAACCGGAAUUGCAUUCGAAAUUUUUAUAAUAACACCUGUUGAUAUUAUUGAAGUUUUAGGUUAGCAACUAAGUGAUUGCGGAUUUUGUCAAUACCACCUAAUGACAAAAUCCCCAAUCACUUAAUUACCAACCUAAUAAUUACUUCAAGAAAAACUCUACACAUUUUAUUUUGUAUAUCCGUGACCUGGAGACCACUGUUACAAAGAGAAUAGAAUUUAGUGAAACGAAAAGUUGGAAAUAAGAAGAGGUCCAUAUUAUUGUGCCGUUGAAUAUAAAUUUUGUUUUGGAUUACAAGGUCUAGAAACAAAAGAGCUAUAAGUAGAUUACUAUCGCUGUUUCUUACAGCCUUCACCUAGAGCUUCCAGGUUAACUUUUUGUUAAUGUCCUUUGCUAUAAAUAUAUGAACGUGAUGCCAAUCAACCUUCUUCUUCUAUUGUAUUCUAACACUGUAAGAGUGAGGAUCUGGAUCAGCAUACACUAUACUUAUACUUCUUUCAAUAUAUUUUUCUAUUAUUAGGUUGUUCGAAAAGUUUCUUUCCUUUUAUAAGGAGAUAAUACACGUACAAUGUCUUUUGUUUUAUAUUACUUUAUUAAAUUAUGCACGAACAUAAUAAUAGAAAUAUGUCGAAAUGGAUCAUACCUAAUUCAAUAAAAUAAUAUAAAACAAACAAUGCUGUUCAUCUAUUAUCACCUUAUGGAACGAAAGAAACUUUUCGGACAACCUAAUACAAAUUCAUCCACUUGUUCCUCUAUCAGUUAACCUCAACAGAUAUAAAUAGACGAACGCGCUGCCUAGGACAGUGGAAUAGUCGAGUAGUUAAAGAGUAGAAGAGUUGAAUUGUUAUAGGAGUUUUAAGCGGCAUACACUGUCUCCGUACUUGUACUUAUAGUGAUUUUGAUAUAAUUGACUGUUACAAUUUUAUCACUCGUCUCUUUGUUAAAUAAACCAACGCGUUUAACACUUAACGCUCCAAGUGUGCCUCUCGAGUACCACCGAUGUGCGGCGCUCUACUUCAAAUGCAUUUUUGGGUCGUUAUCAAUAAUUGUUUACAAAUAAAAAAUAAUACUCUACAGUGAGUUACAAGCGAUCAGUAAAGACAGUCAGAUCUGAACCUGUUUGUGUCGUAAAUCCAUCUAUUUGAAUUAUGUCGAGAAGAAAAAUAAAUUAUCUUUGUGAGGAAAAUAUAGAUAGUGACGAUGACAAUUUUGAUUUUUGCAUCUAUAAUGAUGUAGCUGUUGACUUGGAUAACAGUUAUAGUGAGAGCAGUGAUAGUGAUAUUCUUGUUGCUGGAAGAAGAAGAAAAAUAAGAAAACUUUCAUCGUGUGAGGAAAGUGCAGAUGAUGGAGAACCACAGGAAGAAAAUCUAAGCAAAAGUAUUUGUAACGUAAGAUCUUCUGAUUGGCAGGAAAUUUUUAAGGAAGAUAUCAUUCCACAACGAUAUGAAUUUUCGUCUGGUGGAAAAAUUCCUGGUCCGCGGGUACGCAACUUAUGCGAACCUAUUCAGUACUUUCAAUUAUUUUUUACUAAUGUCGAAAGGGAAAAAGAAAAAGUGUCUUGUUUGUUCACCAAAAGCAAGUAACGCGGUAAAAAAACAAACAGUUUUCUACUAUGAGACCUGUGAACGCAAACCCGGUUUGCAUCCCGAUGAAUGUUUUCAAAAAUUCCACACAUUACUCAAUUAUAAUUAAUAUACAUGUUGUAAUGAAGAUUAUAUUACUUCUCAGAUAAAUAAAGAUUAUUUUCAACAA